rnacentral:lncRNA from 1 species
UUCAGGUUUCAUUUUUUAAUCUUCUCAAAAACCAGAAAAAAAAAAUCAGAAAAGUGUUCUCAGGUUCACCUUACGUCCUGCCUACAACUCCCGAGUGGCUUUUGGUAGUAACUACCCUGUGUACCCAUUAACAAAGCCAACUAUGUCCUCUCUCCAGAAUGCCCACCCCUACUGUGGCCACAUCAUGCCCAGUGUCCCCCCAGGUAGGAGCAGAUACAGUGCAGACCAGGCCCCUCAGUCCUCAUGGUCAAGUCCUUUUGUUGCUCUCAUCCCCUCCCCCUGCCCCACCAUGUGCCCCUGGCUGCCCUUAUCCGCCCAAACCAAAGGCUGAGAGGGGGAGGCCUGUGUCCUUCCAGCUUCAUUGCACAUGGUCCCCCUCCUGCAACCAGGCUACCUGAAGACCUUUAUGGAGGUGAAAGGGAAACUAAAUUGUUCCCUGGAUUCCAGGAGAUGGUCGGCACAGAUGGUCGUCACGUGGGACCUGGAAUUGGAGACACUGCAGCGAGCAGCUAGAAAGCCUCUUGUGUUCCUGGCACCUCCUGGCACUUAUCUUGGGAAUGCCUGCAUGAGGAAGGAGAACGACCUGCCCUGAGGGUCAGUGCUCAGCCCAGCCCUCCACUGUUGGUGGCAACCGUGGGACACCUCAUUCCCUACCCCAAACGGGCCUUUUAAUUGUCCUGGUCACUUGUACUGGUUACAGAGCCUCUCAGCGAUGGCUACACCACCCUUCUCACCCUGCCUCCAUCCCCAAAUCUCAAGCAACACAAUCAGCGGGUACUACCUGUGGCCCCCAACUCCUGUCACACUGGCUAUUGGUGGUGACUACUUUCUCAAGCCCUGGCUCCCCCAAGACAGUCUUUCCUAACUGCCUCCCUACUUGGAGUAGUCACAUACUCAAGUGCACACCACAGCCCGAGGUGGAGACCUGGGCCACACCCUUCCCCUCCUGACAUCUUUAGUUUGGAGCACACAGAGGAAAUAGAACCUAAACACAUGCCCAGAAGUCCUGGUUCAAAAGCUUUACUAUGGAGCCUGCAUAUGAAGCCACCUCUGGCUUCUACAGAAGGAGGCCCUGGCUGCUCCAGCUUGGGUGGAGCCUACUGAAAUGUGGAAACUGUGUAUCUUAUAGAGCCUCCUCUCGUCCUACUCAUCCCUCAGCAGAAAAAUGUGGGCCUAAAAUGAGUUGUGUCACUCAGCAAACAUUUCCUGAGUACCUACUAUAUACCAAACUUAUAGAAAGACUAACUAGGGAACAACAAGGCCACAAACAAGCCACCUGGCACAGCAGCCUUCUACUCAUCCACUGCAUGACCCGGAGGCUAGGAGAGCCUGGGCUUCCUCCUUGCGGUGGGGCCAGCCUGCAAAGGGCCACUGACCUGGCAAGCAUUUACUUCUACUUCACCAAAGAUGCCCAGAGUGAUGGGUCAGCCCUUCUGCUCAAGCAGGCCGUGCCUGGCUGGUGCCAUUCAGACCGAGGCCGAAGGACUUGUGAACAAAAGCACAGAGAUGGCUCAGUGGUUAGGAGCACUGACUCCUUUUCCGUAGGUCCUGAGUUCAAAUCCCAGUAACCACAUGGUGGCUGACAACCACCCGUAAUGAGAUCUGAUGCCCUCUUCUGUUGCUGUCUGAAGACAGCUACAGUAUACUUACAUGUAAUAAAUAAAUAAAUAAAUAAAUAAAUAAAUAAAUAAAUAAAUCUUUAGGAAAAAAUCUGCAAGGUACCAGAUGGAGGAUUCGGGGUCAAGGUGAUGUGGCUGGCAUAGCCUGUGCUCUCCCCCAGCACCUUAUUUAGACAGCCCCCCAACAGUAGUAGGCCCUCUGCUGGCUGCAGCCUCCCCAGCCUGCACCCAGACAUGCCAGUGCACAGGGCUUGGUUGGAAGCUCUGAGAGACCAAAUAACAUGCCCAAAAUGAAGAGUGAGGAGCUGGAGUAGUUAGGGUUGACUUUGGUGGCAGCCCACCUUUCCUAACACACAUUCAGAGAAAGGAUAGACUUGGCAUCUCUUGGGUAGGAGUCAGGGCCCAUCCAGACCAGUCACCAUCCAGCCAUGCACUGUCAUCAUCACCCAUAAUGCCUGCAAAGGCCUAGCGGUCCUCAGCCCUGCACAUGAGAGAGGCACAGAGUCUGUCAGCACAAACAGGAAGCAGCUGGGCUUUUAAGCAGAUCUGUCAGAAACCACAAGCUAUGCCAAGGUCAGAGCCACGGGCAUCUAGAAGGCAUCCACUCUGCUCAAGAGACGGAUGCACUCCUGCGCCCCGGUCUUCGGCCUGGACCCCACACGUUCAUAGUCUGUCCAGACACUGGGUGGCGGUCCUAAUGCACAGUGACCAAUAUCCACAUAACCUCAUUUGCCUUCCAGAUGUUCAGAUAGUCAAAGCUUCUCUCUACCUUGUUUUCCCUCAAUGCAUGUAAUUAAACACUUGUGGAAAUCGCUUUAACAAUAAACAGGAAAUGAGCCU